UACCCGCAGCCCUAGUGGUGGCCGUUUUUAUUGGGUCUAAAGCGUUCGUAGCCGGCCCGGUAAAUGCUUGGGUAAAUCGUGGGGCCUAACCUCACGAGUUCCGAGUAGACUACCGAGCUUGGGACCGGAUGAGGGAGAGGGUAUUUCAGAGGUAGGGGUGAAAUCCUGUAAUCUCUGGAAGACCACCGGUGGCGAAGGCGCUCUCCUAUGACGGGUCCGACGGUGAGGGACGAAAGCCAGGGGAGCAAACCGGAUUAGAUACCCGGGUAGUCCUGGCCGUAAACGAUGUGGGCUUGGUAUUUGGACGGCCAUGAGCUAUCCAAGUGCCGUAGGGAAGCUGUUAAGCCCACCACCUGGGGAGUAUGGUCGCAAGGCUGAAACUUAAAAGGAAUUGGCGGGGGAGCACUGCAACGGGAGGAGCGUGCGGUUU
rnacentral:rRNA from 1 species